UACGAAGGGGGCUAGCGUUGCUCGGAAUCACUGGGCGUAAAGCGCACGUAGGCGGGUCCUUAAGUCAGGGGUGAAAUCCUGGAGCUCAACUCCAGAACUGCCUUUGAUACUGAGGAUCUCGAGUUCGGGAGAGGUGAGUGGAACUGCGAGUGUAGAGGUGAAAUUCGUAGAUAUUCGCAAGAACACCAGUGGCGAAGGCGGCUCACUGGCCCGAUACUGACGCUGAGGAGCGAAAGCGUGGGGAGCGAACAGG
rnacentral:rRNA from 1 species